rnacentral:lncRNA from 1 species
UUCUCAGCCUCUUCCAAGAAGAUUCCCGUGUCCAAGUGGGUUAUGGAAGAAGUGAGUUCCACAUCUGGACGAACAACCAUACCCGCUUCCAAAUCAACGUCUUUCAUCACAGCUUUCUUUAGAUCACGUAGCUGGGGAAGGACUUGGUCAUUACAUGUUCACUUUGGGAUCAGAAAUUGAUUUUGAUAUGUGUAAGCAAAAUGAGAGUAAAAGAGAAUGAGUGAAGAUGAUAAUAGAAAGGAUCUGUG